CUCGUGGUGCGCCGUUUUUUAAGCCCAUCAGAAAAGCGCAGUAUUCGGGUGGGAGUGACUCGGUUUUCCAGGUGCGGUCCAUCACCCCUUUCUUUGACUCGGAAAGGCAACUCCCUGACCCCUUGCGCUUCCCGAGUGAGGUAAUGCCUCACCCUGCUUCGGCUCGCGCAUGGUGCGUGCACACACUGACCUGUGCCCACUGUCUGGCACUCCCUAGUGAGAUGAACCCGGUACCUCAGAUGGAAAUGCAGAAAUCACCCGUCUUCUGCGUCGCUCACGCUGGGAGCUGUAGACCGGAGCUGUUCCUAUUCGGCCAUCUUGGCUCCUCCCGUGAACUGGAAAUUCCCUGUCUCCCCUUAACCAGCACUGGAAGCAGAUGGGAAGAGAAUAGCUGUGACUGACACACACUCUAACCCAGCAACCCUUAGCAUACAAGUGGGGGACCAUAAAGUUUUUCAAGACCCCAAAAGAGGCCAAAGGUCUGAUAAUUGCUGGGAGAAGGUCCACUAUCCAAGAAGAGAAGAGGAAAAGGAAUUAAAGUCUCCAAGCACUGGGGAUGCAAGAAGAGAGUUGCACAGGAGAGAAAGAAGAAGUUGUCCACGGGGUGACCCUGCAAUUGGAGGGAAAUGCAUGUGGAUAUGUGCAGGGAGUCUAGGAAGUGAAGCCUUAGUGAUCAUUUACAAGAAUGAGGGUUAGGUAAAAUAAGGGAUGCAAAGCCACCUGUAGUCUAUUCUAACCUCACUCCAUCACUCUAUACAAUCUGUGUUUUAUCAUCUGAAAUGUUAAGUAAAGACCUGUUUGGGUCUUCUUCAGAAUCCCAUACAUUUGAGUUCAUUAGUCAGAAAAAGGGAAAAUACCACCACCCCAUCCUGGAAUGGCAGUCAUGUACACUUUUAUAAUGAGAGAUUGGGCAGCAAAGGGGGCCCCUUGUGGACCUCACCCAG
rnacentral:lncRNA from 1 species